CUUGCGGCCACAUCAGGUGGAAACACCGGUUUAUGUACGAUCACUGAAGUUAAGCAACGUCGAGCCUGGUCAGUAGCUAGAUGAGUAACUGCUUCGGAAUUCCAGGUACUGUAAU